rnacentral:rRNA from 1 species
AUUGAACGCUGGCGGCAUGCUUUACACAUGCAAGUCGAACGGUAACAGGCCUUCGGGUGCUGACGAGUGGCGAACGGGUGAGUAAUGCAUCGGAACGUACCCAGAGGUGGGGGAUAACGCAGCGAAAGCUGUGCUAAUACCGCAUGUGAUCUGAGGAUGAAAGCGGGGGACCGAGCAGCAAUGUUUGGCCUCGCGCCUUUGGAGCGGCCGAUGUCGGAUUAGCUAGUUGGUGGGGUAAAGGCCUACCAAGGCGACGAUCCGUAGCUGGUCUGAGAGGACGACAAGCCACACGGGAACUGAGCCACGGCCAAGACUCCUACGGGAGGCAGCAGUGGGGAAUUUUGGGCAAUGGGCGCAAGCCUGAUCCAGCAAUGCCGCGUGCGGGAAGAAGGCCUUCGGGUUGUAAACCGCUUUUGGCAGGAACGAAACGUUGUCCGCUAAUACCGGGCGCUAAUGACGGUACCUGCAGAAUAAGCACCGGCUAACUACGUG